AAAGCACUUUUGUCCGGAAAGAAAACCUCUUGGUUAAUACCUGAGGGGGAUGACGGUACCGGAAGAAUAAGCACCGGCUAACUACGUGCCAGCAGCCGCGGUAAUACGUAGGGUGCGAGCGUUAAUCGGAAUUACUGGGCGUAAAGCGUGCGCAGGCGGUCUGUUAAGACCGAUGUGAAAUCCCCGGGCUUAACCUGGGAACUGCAUUGGUGACUGGCAGGCUUUGAGUGUGGCAGAGGGAGGUAGAAUUCCACGUGUAGCAGUGAAAUGCGUAGAGAUGUGGAGGAAUACCGAUGGCGAAGGCAGCCUCCUGGGCCAACACUGACGCUCAUGCACGAAAGCGUGGGGAGCAAACAGGAUUAGAUACCCUGGUAGUCCACGCCCUAAACGAUGUCAACUAGUUGUUGGGGAUUCAUUUCCUUAGUAACGUAGCUAACGCGUGAAGUUGACCGCCUGGGGAGUACGGUCGCAAGAUUAAAACUCAAAGGAAUUGACGG
rnacentral:rRNA from 1 species